GUGGGGAAUAUUGGACAAUGGGCGCAAGCCUGAUCCAGCCAUGCCGCGUGAGUGAUGAAGGCCCUAGGGUUGUAAAGCUCUUUCACCGGAGAAGAUAAUGACGGUAUCCGGAGAAGAAGCCCCGGCUAACUUCGUGCCAGCAGCCGCGGUAAUACGAAGGGGGCUAGCGUUGUUCGGAAUUACUGGGCGUAAAGCGCACGUAGGCGGACAUUUAAGUCAGGGGUGAAAUCCCGGGGCUCAACCCCGGAAAUGCCGUUGAUACUGGGUGUCUGGAGUAUGGAAGAGGUAAGUGGAAUUCCGAGUGUAGAGGUGAAAUUCGUAUAUAUUCGGAGGAACACCAGUGGCGAAGGCGGCUUACUGGUCCAUUACUGACGCUGAGGUGCGAAAGCGUGGGGAGCAAACAGGAUUAGAUACCCCAGUAGUCC
rnacentral:rRNA from 1 species